rnacentral:rRNA from 1 species
AUUGAACGCUGGCGGCAGGCCUAACACAUGCAAGUCGAACGAGUGGCGGACGGGUGAGUAAUGUCUGGGGAACUGCCCGAUGGAGGGGGAUAACUACUGGAGCCGGUGGCUAAUACCGCAUGCCCUCGGAUUUUUCCAGAUGGGCUUAGCUAGUAGGUGGGGUAACGGCUCACCUAGGCGACGCUCCCUAGCUGGUCUGAGAGGAUGACCAGCCACACUGGAACUGAGACACGGUCCAGACUCCUACGGGAGGCAGCAGUGGGGAAUAUUGCACAAUGGGCGCAAGCCUGAUGCAGCCAUGCCGCGUGUAUGAAGAAGGCCUUCGGGUUGUAAAGUACUUUCAGCGAGGAGGCGUUACUCGCAGAAGAAGCACCGGCUAACUCCGUGCCAGCAGCCGCGGUAAUUC